AUCCUGUUCCUCAUAGCACGACCAUAUAUGAUUAUGCCAUUGCCCGACAUCCUCGUAGCCUCGGUCGCUGGUAGCUUAUUUUUCCAGCAAGUUGAGUUGGGAGUCUCAAGUUUCAGUAUGGUGUGGACGCAACUUUAGAGGGUUUCUAUGUUGAAGCCUUACGUGAACGGAUCAAACGAAGGAGGUUCGAAAUAAAUCAAAUCAAAGCUUGCGUGUUUCUGGAUCGUUCCACUCGGACUUUGAGGUGCUUUCACCGGUAUUGGCCCUCGAGCGGUAUAUCAGAAGCAUCAAUCCCAACUGGUCCGAUCAUCUAAUGCCCCAGUCUCCAAGUGAUCCCUCGGCACCCGACAAUGACAACGAA